ACAGAAUAUUGGUAAACCUAUUGAAAAAUAGGGACACAAAGCCAUAGGGUCUAAAUCUAUUUAUAGAUAUGACAGCCGGUUGCAUGU
rnacentral:ncRNA from 1 species